rnacentral:rRNA from 1 species
UACAGAGGGGGCAAGCGUUGUUCGGAAUUACUGGGCGUAAAGGGCGCGUAGGCGGCCUGUUAAGUCGAACGUGAAAUCCCCGGGCUCAACCCGGGAACUGCGUCCGAUACUGGCAGGCUUGAAUUCGGGAGAGGGAUGCGGAAUUCCAGGUGUAGCGGUGAAAUGCGUAGAUAUCUGGAGGAACACCGGUGGCAAAGGCGGCAUCCUGGACCGAGAUUGACGCUGAUGCGCGAAAGCCAGGGGAGCAAACGGG